GGUCAAGCGAAUAAGUGCAUGUGGUGGAUGCCUUGGCGAUUACAGGCGAUGAAGGACGCGGUAGCCUGCGAAAAGCUUCGGGGAGCUGGCAAACAAGCUUUGAUCCGAAGAUGUCCGAAUGGGGAAACCCGGCCCGUAUGGGUCACCUCUGACUGAAUACAUAGGUCAUUGGAGCGAACGCGGUGAACUGAAACAUCUAAGUAGCCGCAGGAAAAGAAAUCAACCGAGAUUCCCAGAGUAGUGGCGAGCGAAAUG
rnacentral:rRNA from 1 species